GAAAGAAAUGAGAUUUUUAAGAAGAAUUGCUCGCUUUGUAGGCCCUGAGAAAGGCUGCUGAAUUUGCCUGAAACUGAAGCUUGUGAGUUAAGAACACAACCUUCAUUUAUUCAGCAACAACGGGAAAGUGCGCGUGUUUCCAUGGAGACAGAAUCCAGAACACACUUCACUGGGAAGAGUACAUCUGAAUGGACUUCACUGUGCAGAUGCUGACAUGCGCUACGAAAGACUCACAGCCCAGCUGCAAUCCUGAACUUUCGUAGAAGAUACAUAGAAGGGGAAUAUCUGUGUUGAAGUGUCUGCAUACCCACAGAUGAAUGGGUAAGGAAAAUGUGUCAUUAUACACAAUGGAACACCAUUCUACAACGAAGAAGAAUAAACUGGAGUCAUUUGUAGGUAAAUAGAUGCAUCUUGAGAACAUAAAUUUAAGUGAAAUAAAUCAAAUGCACAAGC